rnacentral:lncRNA from 1 species
ACGGAGCUGGCGGCGUAUCCCAAAGUGGCCGCAAGAAGUAUGUAACUUUCCGGUAAUCUGUAUAGAAUCCUAACAUACAUGCAGACACAAAUAUCAACAGUAGGAGAUAAAAGAAGUUGCGUGGAGUUCGUCUGGAAAUAGGACGAAGAGAUCGUGGUGCCAUGCCGUGAAGGAUAUUUCUUUUCUUUUUGAAAGUAUAGCCGGGUGGUGCUGCCAUCAAGCCUUGAUUAAAGAAACCGCGGAAUCCAUAACGGGACGUGGUGCCUAUACCCCAAUUUACAAAACGCAUAUCAAGAGAACUUCCUGAAAUUAAUACAACAUCGAGGUUUAGGAGGUUUAGGAGGGUCAAAAAUCAUAGCUCUAACAAUCUUGAUCUACCUGCAUAGAGAAAACGUUUUUAAAUCAUGAUGAUAAACAAUGUACCUCACUUUUGCACAAAUUGUAAUACUACCUGGUUUGCUUUAUCAUAACUUAAAGUGACUGAAAGUGAGAUUCUUGAAAACCCACCAUGUCAUCUGAUAAAGGGGAAUUGAAAAGCCCUCUGGCAAAUAUUCAAAUACAUCGAUCAUAUGUUUUACACCCAACAAAUCGAUCAAGAAAAACCAUGUCUAUCAUAGUUUGUUUGCUCACACCAUAAGACAUCAGUUCUAGAGCCUAUCUAGCAUUUUAUGAAACAGCAACCAAAUCUCUCUUAGAUAAUUCAGGGUCUAAUAUGCAUUCAGAAAUUCAAAUCCUAAAUUAAGAAAUCAAAGAGGACAAUGAAACCAAUAAGACAGAGAUAUAUACCUCUAGUGUCCGCAGGUACAAGAGAGCAAAGGAGGACGGCAAAGCCUAAAAUGGCAGAAAUUCUUGAGUUUGAGACUGAGCAGUCACCGUCUUAAUUAUAAAGAUCAACAAAGUGGAUAUGGACAAAAUUUGGUAGCUUUGUAAUAAACGCCGGUGCGGCGAUUCUCAAGUCUUAGUGUUUAUGUAGAUUUUGUUAAGUGUAUGACUUGUGUUGGGCUUAAUUAAAUAAAGCCUAACUAAACUUGUAGUUAGAGAUUUUAUAAAUUUGCUGGCCGAAUUUAAAAAGUUUGCUGGGUGUGCUUAUACUAAUUUUAAAAUGGAAUUGAAAUAGUCCUGUAACUGCUGUUUAUAGCUAAUAUUAAGAUUCAAGUUGUUAAUUAAGUCGGUGAAUUGAACGAUUCAUACCUAUAACAAUGCCUAAAGUUAAUGAAGCCUCUGAUAUAUGCAUGUCUCAUAAAGAGAGUAGGAAAACCAAGUACAAUCUUACGCCAUAGCAAAAGUGAUAAUAUAUUUGGCUAAUCGCAUCACACAAAUGUGCUUCUUAACUUGUAUGAAAAAUAUAUAUGAUUACAAUCAUAGAAUCAUAGCUAUGAAUUGAGUUAUAUGAUCCAAAUAAAAACUUAC